AGUGUUCUAGGAUUACCAACAUAAAUAAAUAAGCUACACAUUGACUGAGAAGCAUAAAACAACAGAAGUUUAUUUUCCCAGUCGUGGACGUCAGAAGUCCAAAUCUAACGGCCAGCAGAUUUCUGCCUUGCUGUUUGCAGCCGCCAUGAACUGUGGUCCGCCAUGCCACCCUGCCUAGGAGUCAACUGAGUAUGGACUGAAACCUCCAAAACUUUUUUAUUUUGCAGGUAGUAAAAAUACAACAGAACAUGACAGAACAAAGCCAGUGGAGACAGUGCGGUGAAAUUGGUACAGAACUUCCCAGCAGGAUGCCCGGAUAACAGUAGUAGGUACCACGGUAUAUCUCGUUACCCACACAAUCGCUGUCCAUUCCAUCAGGCAUAGCGAAAUCAAACCAGAGACAGAACAUGAUAAAACCAAUCAAAAGAGAAUAUUGAAUAGAGCAAAAUAAUUAAUCAUAACAACAAAACAGUGAAAACAUUGACCUUCAAACAGAAGAGAGAAGCAGAUCCCCAUAUUUGCUAUAUUGCGUAUGGUCAUUCUCCCAAGAGAUGCCUAGACCUCUGCCCCAGUUCCUAUGUGGGGAGAAAGGGACAUUGUGAGAGGUUAGGAGGACUGCAGGAGGUCGUGCCGUGCAUGGGCCGUGGCGCUGAGAUGCCUCCCACUGAUCCACGCAGCCACCUCCAGAGCCCAUGUCCUGAACCGUCUUACUCCAUCAUGGACCCAAAAGAGCCCGCGCUUCAUGAAACACGCUGAAAACAGCUUAAGAGCUUUUCAUUUCCAUUAGGGGGGGAUCGAUGAGCUAGGGGAGGAGCGCUUGCGGGAGGUUUACAGAUGAGAGGGAAAGCCCAGGUGCUCAGUUGCUGUUGAAUUCCAAGCCCUCUACCAGGGAGAAUGAUCUUGCUAUGGGAACCAUAGAACAGAGGGGAGGAAACCAGGGCCCAGUGUCCGUGCGCAGGCAGGAAGCCAGCACCAAGUCACAGAAGCAAGCUCUGGGCUUCAGGCUUCCGUGAAAUUCAUCUCAUGAAUCUGCUGGAACUUUCACGCAUGAAAUCGAUGCUGCUGCUUGCUCCGCAGGAUACAGAGAUGUUACUUUUGAACCUCCUCCUUCCCCCGUGUCUGGCAGCUGCUCUCCUCAAGAUAUUUAUGACACUCAGCCCAAUCUUCUCCGUAUCUAGCUCAGAGAAGCCUUUGGCACAAGAAGUGUAUUUCAAGCAUAAAGAGUGUACACCACAAUGGUGCGGCAAAUUUCUUGAGAAGUUUAACAUCGAAAUGUCACCUUCUCAUCCUUCUCUUUGUCCUUCUUGUAGCUGAACAGUGACCACCAAAAAAAGAAUGGGGUGUGGCAAAAAUGAUGCCUGUAACAAAUUCAAACCUUUGCUGUGUGUCUCUAGUUGGGAGAUGCCAGCUAGGUGGUCCUGUGAAUUGCAGAUAGGCUCCUCUGUGUAUCUAACAUCCCAUGGACACUGCUAGCUCGUUACAGUCUGGUGUGUACAGAGGAAAAUCAGAACAAUAUGCAUUGUCUUUGGUUUCUUAUCCUCACGUAUGGUCCCAGACUCAUCAUCCUGGUGGUGACAGAGCUGCAGGAGCCCAGCACAGAAACGAAACAGAAGGCUGUGUUGGGAACCAGCCCACAGCACUCCUGCUAGAUACCUCUGGCCAGAGUAAGUCACAGUGAGCCCCAUCUCAAGACGUGGGCAACAUUCUGGGGAGGAACAGAAAAGCCACAGGCAAACAGAGCAUGAAUGUAAGUGAUCUCCCCCAAGACCUCGCUGAGGGCAAAGCUUGCUUUGGGAUCCUGGCGGUCCACAGCUUACAUCCCUGCCCUGAAGAUUUCCUAGUACAGCGAAGACACUGGCAUCUUGUGGGCUUGAAUAUGGAAUCUGGGUGAGUGCGUGCGAUUUUUAUGUGCUCUUGAUCCACACCGAACAGGUCCUUGGUACCAUAUGCUGCUGUAUCUCUCUGGCUGACUGUAGCAAGCGGUUUUCUACAGCAGGGAACAAAAGUCCUCUGAGAUGUGUCCCAGUAAAUGUUACAGCUCAGCAUCUUCUGGCCAUUGUCUGGUUUUUCUUAGAACAACAACAGAGGAGAGGCAGAUUCCUCGGUGCCUUUGAGCAGGGCAGGGGAGGUGAGGGAGGCAGGAGGACCCCAAGAAGAUUCAGUCACUACAGCAACUCAGCUCUCUGAUUUCCUCCACAGACAGACCGCACGAAUCACACCACCCAUGCUUCUAUGUUGUGUUUGCUUGAUUGAAAUGCAAUUGUCAGCAAUCUUCAUCUGAACUCCACAAGAAUAACAACCCCAUCUGCUUACUUCUCUCUCUACGCCAGAUUCCUUACAGCGAGCUACAUGAUAGGCAUUCUCUAAAUAUUUGCUGAAUACAAAGAGGAUAGGUGGCUGAAGACUCACUGUUGAGAGCUUCCGAAGUGAUUUUCAGUAGAGGAAGGUUGCUUUAGAAGCUGCCAGGCAGUGAACUUGACUCUCCUGAAUGGUGCAAUCUGGGCUAAAUGAACACACAGAGGGCUCCCGAGGUGGUGGGAAAGGAGGCUGGAGUUGCUGGGAGCUAGGAUGGGUUCACCGAAAACAAAUCACGGUGAACUGGCUCAGCUCUCAUUCCUUUUAUGAUUGGAUUUUUGUACUGUUGUAGCAGCCUGCAGGCACGACACAUGUGACUCCCAGCAAGAUAUCUGAUGAGAUAUUUUAUGUAACUCCCAUAAUCAACAGGUGGAAACAGGACCUGGAUGAGUUAGCAGGUUGAUUUAUAACUGGGUGUUUAAUGAUAUGUAAAGAUCGUCUGCUAAUGUCAGUGUCUGGGAAGGGGAAGAGAGUUCCUCUCCCCGUGUGUUGUGGGACUCUCGUCUCUAUUUUACCUUGUUCACAUUGUCUAGGCUAGGACACUCUUAUGGUAGGCAGACGUGUUGUAUUUCCAAGUGAUCCGAAGCUCUAAGGAAUGAUCUUACCUGCUAGACGAUGGAGCCCGGAUUCUACAUCAGAGGGAUCUUGUUGGCAAGGUCGGGCUGAAACUGAAAGAUGAAUUUGAGUGGGAAUAAAUUCACAGCAGAGAAUGGGUGUUUCAAGACUCAUUUGCGGAGGAGUGGGAUUGCAGAGGCCUGGCGUAACAGCACACAGUCAAUUAGAGCCGCUGCUGUGACACGGUGGCUAAGAAGCUGCAUGUCUACGCUGAAUUAAUACAAGCGAAGUAUUAAGAUCGAGGGCGAUUACAGUCCCUCUGUCCCCUGAAUUUAUCAGACUACAGCCAUUCAAUAAAACAUUUAUUAAGUA